ACCCCCCCCAGCGUGACGCACUCGCGCANCCGGGGGGUACCGCCGCCUUNCAAGCCUACAAGUUGACCUCGGAUCAGGCGGGGAUACCCGCUGAACUUAAGCAUAUCAAUAAGCGGAGGAAAAGAAACCAACGGGGAUUGCCUCAGUAACGGCGAGUGAAGCGGCACCAGCUCAAAUUUGAAAUCUGACCCCCUCGGGGCCCGAGUUGUAAUUUGAAGAGGAAGCUUCGCGAACGGCACCGCCCCAAGUUCCUUGGAACCGGACGCUACAGAGGGUGAGAGCCCCGUAUCCGGGCGGAUGCCCGCCGCGUGUGAAGCUCCUUCGACGAGUCGAGUUGUUUGGGAAUGCAGCUCUAAUCGGGAGGUAAAUUCCUUCUAAAGCUAAAUACCGGCCGGAGACCGAUAGCGCACAAGUAGAGUGAUCGAAAGAUGAAAAGCACUUUGAAAAGAGAGUUAAAAAGCACGUGAAAUUGUUGAAAGGGAAGCGCUCGCGACCAGACUCGGCCGGGGGGGAUCAGCCGUCGCUCUGCGGCGGCGCCCUCCCCCUCGACCGGGCCAGCGUCGGUUUGGGCGGCCGGACAAAGGCGGCGGGAACGUGGCUCCCCUCGGGGAGUGUUAUAGCCCGUCGCGGAAUGCGGCCAGCCCGGAUCGAGGACCGCGCUUCGGCUAGGACGCUGGCGUAAUGGUCGUGAGCGGCC
rnacentral:rRNA from 1 species